UGUGUAGGCGGUUCUUUAAGUUUGGUGUGAAAUCUCCCGGCUCAACUGGGAGGGUGCGCCGAAUACUGAGGGACUAGAGUACGGGAGAGGAAAGUGGAAUUCCUGGUGUAGCGGUGAAAUGCGUAGAUAUCAGGAGGAACACCGGUGGUGUAGACGGCUUUCUGGACCGUAACUGACGCUGAGACACGAAAGCGUGGGUGAAC
rnacentral:rRNA from 1 species